AUGACAGACAACAGCCAUGCCCUGCCCCUUGCUUGGUGGGCCCUGCCCACCGCGGUGCCUGUGUCGUGGGCUCCCCCUGCAUGGUGUCUGGCACAACCCCAUGCUGUGAUCUUCCCUGCAAGUUGCUCGGUACCCCCAGGAGCCCAGGGCCACGAGCUUCUCCCGCACAGCACCCAGGGCCCCCCUCACGGGCUGAGAAGAGUUAAUGCCCUCAACGGGCCAGCUCCUCCCGACUGGUCCCAGCCCCAGCCCAGAGCGCGUUCCUCCAAGACUAUUUCCUGCCUCUGGGCCUUGGCCAGGCCCACAGUGACCACCCCCAUGGGUCUGAGGCCGCAUCUGGUUUGGAUUACACCAGGGCUGGUGACGCUGCCUUUUCCUGUCGGCGUCCAGUGGCCUCAAAUUCCACCGGCCACCUUGGACCCAGCAGGGCAGCUGUGGGAAAAGAUUCAGCCAGCGACAGGGCUGCCCCGAGGGUAUGAAGUGGCCAGGGCCAUCCUGAAGGAUGUGCCCACCUGGACCGAGCUCCCGCUUGUGCAGUUGCCCGCACACCUGUUCCUUCCUUCACUCUCGCCCGUGUUAUUUAUGGAGCACAAAGCCCUGCACCCAGGGACUCCCAUGUGUACAUUCGUUUCAUCCCCACCCCGUGACUGGGUAUUUCAUUACCAGCAGUUCUCAGAUGAGGAAACUGCGGCACAAGGACCUAUGGACAAGGCGUGGGUUCCCAGCCAGUCAGUACUGGGGUGGGAUGGCAAAGCAGGCGGUCUGACUUCAGACACAUCCGAUCCCUAUUUGUUGAGCCCCUUUUCUGGGCCUGGCCCUAAGCCAGAGACUGGAGAUGAAUUAGUCAUGGUCUCGGCCCUCAGAGAGUUCACAGCCUCUGGGACCCCGGCGGUGGGAGGCUGGGGCUCAUGGUGGAGCUGGAAGGGCAUGGCAGAAGCCACUAGGUCCUGGUCUCUCUCUCCAGGGGGAGUGACUUCCAUGCUUAGAGCAAAUGAGGAGGAGGCCUCUUCCAGAAAGAGAGAAGGGGGUGUUCCAGGCUGCUCCAGGGAGCUGAGAACAAGCUUGUCAUCCCAGUGGGGCUUUUGCAUAUGA
rnacentral:lncRNA from 1 species